CCUACGGGAGGCAGCAGUGAGGAAUAUUGGUCAAUGGGCUUACGCCUGAACCAGCCAAGUCGCGUGAGGGAAGACUGCCCUAUGGGUUGUAAACCUCUUUUGUCAGGGAGCAACGCCGGCUACGUGUAGCCGGACUGAGAGUACCUGAAGAAAAGGCAUCGGCUAACUCCGUCCCAGCAGCCGCGGUAAUACGGGGGAUGCGACCGUUAUCCGGAUUUAUGGGGUUUAAGGGGUGCGUAGGCGGAAUGCCAAGUCAGCGGUAAAAUCGCGGGGCUCAACCUCGCUCCGCCGUUGAAACUGGCGUUCUUGAGUGGGCGAGAAGUAGGCGGAAUGCGUGGUGUAGCGGUGAAAUGCAUAGAUAUCACGCAGAACUCCGAUUGCGAAGGCAGCAUACCGGCGCCCAACUGACGCUGAAGCACGAAAGCGUGGGUAUCGAACAGGAUUAGAUACCCGUGUAGUC
rnacentral:rRNA from 1 species